CCUACGGGAGGCAGCAGUGGGGAAUUUUCCGCAAUGGGCGAAAGCCUGACGGAGCCAGACCGCGUGGGGGAAGAAGGCUCUUGGGUUGUAAACCCCUUUUCUCAGGGAAGAAAAAAAUGACGGUACCUGAGGAAUAAGCAUCGGCUAACUCCGUGCCAGCAGCCGCGGUAAGACGGAGGAUGCAAGCGUUAUCCGGAAUGAUUGGGCGUAAAGCGUCCGCAGGUGGCGUUUCAAGUCUGCUGUCAAAGAGCAAGGCUCAACCUUGUCAAGGCAGUGGAAACUGGAGAGCUAGAGUGUGGUAGGGGUAGAGGGAAUUCCCAGUGUAGCGGUGAAAUGCGUAGAGAUUGGGAAGAACACCGGUGGCGAAAGCGCUCUACUGGACCAUAACUGACACUGAGGGACGAAAGCUAGGGGAGCGAAUGGGAUUAGAUACCCUUGUA
rnacentral:rRNA from 1 species